rnacentral:lncRNA from 1 species
AUUUUGAAUUUUAUUGUAUGAUUAUAUUUAUAAGUUUGAAUUUAGUUAAAAUAAUUAAUUGUCAGUUGUAUCUUGUGAAUAAUAAAGUAGUUAGAUUACAUGGAAAAUUUUUUUUGGAGGCCAUUACUACACUUAUGCGGUGGAUAGAGCGCCGUGAAUUGAACAGCCAGUUAAAAGUGUCCGUUACAAAACGAAUGGAAAAGGAGGGAGCACGGGGUGUAGUUUUCAUCAGAGUUUUGGCCAAGGGCCAAACAUGACAGAAUAAAAAGAACUCUUUGCAGUACUGCUUUUAUGUAUAUAUCUCUAGAAUGCAUUUUAUAGUAGUUUAUUUAUGGAAAUGUUUGUAUUUGAUACAGUGAAAUUAAUCUUAAAUCUGCAUAGUGUAUAAAUGAUUUGAUCUUAAUUUUUAUAUAUUAAUUGUAAU